rnacentral:rRNA from 1 species
GGAGCUAAUCCCCAAAAGCCAUCUCAGUUCGGAUUGCACUCUGCAACUCGAGUGCAUGAAGUCGGAAUCGCUAGUAAUCGCGGAUCAGCAUGCCGCGGUGAAUACGUUCUCGGGCCUUGUACACACCGCCCGUCACACCAUGGGAGUUGGUUUUGCCUGAAGACGGUGUGCUAACCGCAAGGAGGCAGCCGGCCACGGUAGGGUCAGCGACUGGGGUGAAGUCGUAACAAGGUAGCCGUAGGGGAACCUGCGGCUGGAUCACCUCCUUUCUA